rnacentral:piRNA from 1 species
UAUUGAUCUUCCUCUUUAUAGAUUGGGCAC